GCGUGGUUUUAUUGCCCGCCCGGACCCAACGGCUGCACUGCGCCUCGCACAGCGGGGAUGGGGCCGGAGGGGGGCAGCAGCCCUGGGGGGGGCCCAGUUCUGACAGCUCAGGGUCAGCGCCCCCCUCCUCCCCAGGAAGCGAGGAGGGGGGCACGCAGCCUGGAGGCACAGCGGGGGCUGCAGGCACAGCGCGGGGGCCCCGCGGCCCGUCCAGCACCGGCCAGGAUGGAGGUGAUGGAGUUGCAGGGGGGUGGGGGGCGGCCCCCCAGGCUGACUGAUACAGCAGCACUGGAAGGUGCAGGAGCGCAGCCCCCACCUGGCUCCAUCCCAGACACAAGCCAAGAAAGCACAACCAGGCCCUGCUCCAAGAGCUGCCUGGGCACUGGGCACACACUGCCCAUGGGUGCUGCUACAGCAC
rnacentral:lncRNA from 1 species